UACGGAGGGGCUAGCGUUGUUCGGAAUUACUGGGCGUAAAGCGUGCGCAGGCGGUGAUGUAAGACAGGUGUGAAAUCCCCGGGCUUAACCUGGGAACUGCAUUUGUGACUGCAUCGCUGGAGUGCGGCAGAGGGGAUGGAAUUCCGCGUGUAGCAGUGAAAUGCGUAGAUAUGCGGAGGAACACCGAUGGCGAAGGCAAUCCCCUGGGCCUGUACUGACGCUCAUGCACGAAAGCGUGGGGAGCAAACAGG
rnacentral:rRNA from 1 species